rnacentral:tRNA from 1 species
UAUAAAAUGGCAGAAAUUAAUGCAUAAGCUUUAAGCGCUUAUUAUGACUAAUAAAGUCUUUUAUAA